AAUUAGAAUGGUAUGAAUAUUGACAAAUGAAUAUAGACUUGAAAUAAAAUGGCAUUAAAGAAAAUGGCUUGAAAUUAAAUGUUAGUUGUUAAUGAGUUAGAAGUUAGUAUUGUUUUGCUUUUGUUUUUUUUUUUGUUUUUAAGUCAUUCUUUGGAGAACACUCAACCCACUUAUCACAAGAAUGGAUCCUUGAGCCAAGACAUCUUCCAAAGGAAGGAAAAAAGGCUAAGUUUCCACACAAUGCCUUUUGUGUCAAA
rnacentral:lncRNA from 1 species